GCUUUGCUCUCUUCUGUGUUCACCAUGUGGCACAGAAAAGUGGCUCUCAGUAUGACAUAAAAGAUACACAAAUGAUCAUUCUUCUUCACAAGAUUUCAAACUUUAUCUCUGGGGAAACAGGAACUUGUUUGUGUAGAAGCCUCAAAUCACGAUGUUCUCUGUACUACUGAAUAUAUGUCUUUGAUCCAGUAGAUGCUUAAGGUUUUAAUUAUGGACCUCUGUGGUAGACUUGGCUACAUAUCAUUUUCUGAAGAUAUCAGAUGGAUAUGCCUCCUCUCAAGCCUUCCUUUCUUCCUGCAAAACACCUCCUGGAAAUAGUGCUGGUCCUAGUUGUAGCUCUGCUAGGAAUAAAAGAAGCUUCACUGCAAUCAAACUACAUUGAUUUCAGUCCAUGAACCUUUUCUGAAGAACUUCCAACCCAAAACUGGAGACAGACACAGCAAGAUGACAAGGCCACUAUUUAAGGUAUUGUGCUCCUUCUACAAAAUAAAUGGAAAACAGACAUUAAUAAAAGAGAUCUCUGACUAAGAUUUCAUUCCUCUGAAAUUUUCAUGUGGGAAAACCACCAUUGCUGCCAUCCUGCAUCUAAUUUGAUCUACUUUGUAGAUUAAACACAAUGGAAUUUGCAAGUAUACAUAUUUACAUGUAGGGAACAGUAGAUAACAUCGUAAACUCAUUGGAACUAAUAUAAUAGGAGUGGAAACAUGACACGUCCCUGUACAGAGGAUCUGUACAUUUCUCCAGUAAAGCCCCAGUUAAUUCCUCUGCUACGUUUCUUUCCUGGUCCAUACAUGGGAAGCACAACACACACAUUUCUAGUCAGCAAACUUUAGGUCAACUUUCAAAGCAAAAUUUCACAGUCGAUUUGGAGUGUUGAGCUGGUGUAUCGCAGAAAGAGUAAGCAAGAACAGCAAGUGGACAGCAAGGGGAAUGAGGCAGAAUACUAAGAAAUCAUAAAUGAGAGAGGUUUGGGCAAAAGGAAAUAAUAAAGGAACAGACACAGGGCUUACAGCCAGCAGAACUGUGUCACCUACCUGAAAUACUUUUGCCAAAUUGUCAAAGAGGGCUUGCCCAGCGCUGACUUUAUGCUUGACUCCCCUGACUGUGCCGUUUUUGCUGAGGAUGUUGACUCGCUUUGUACCAAACCCCCUCUCUUUAGUGGCUCUGACUAAAAUGAGCAGGUCGUCCUGCUCGUUCUCAUUUUCAUCGCACUCGGACCCUACGUGUCCAUUCUGCUGCCCGUCCACUUCGCUCAGCCGGCUGGUUUGGUCGGUCUCCGAACUACUGGCGUACUCGGAGUCCAGAGAGUCGGCAGCCUCCCCGUCGGUGUACACCUCCUUCAGCACCCUCCCGCUGUGUGAGGACGCAACACGGAACCGAACCUUCCUCGACAGCCUCUCGCUGUCCGCCUUCGUCUCACUUUUAAACGUCGCCUCGUCCAUUGAUAGAAGCAGUUUGCAUUGUUCCAGCGUGGUGCCCAUCGCAUUUGCCAGUUUGUCACACUUAGCAACAAUAUCGGCGCUGUUUUCUGUUGACAGGGGUUCUCAUAUUAAACUAAAGAGGAUUCCCAAGAAGCUACACUGCCGUUCUGCAGUUAAUAAUGGAUGCGUUUGUGCUAUGGUUACCUUUAAACUAAAACCCGUAAAACGAUCUCAUCAAUUAAAUAUUAAAAAGCCAUUGUGUACUUUUUAGCACUAAGGAAGAAAGCAAGGAAUUAUAUUCAUUGAUUAAAAUAAAAAUUUAAACCCACACAUGAUAAUAACAGAAAUUACUCAAGGUUAUAUGAAUGCAGCUUUUGUUUGCUGGGAAAGCCAAAAGGAAGACUUUCUUACAAGAUCCGCAGAGCCAAAACUGUUUAUGUACGUUGCACCUGAGGUGAAAAUCAUGAACUUCAGCACUGGAAUCAGUGAUAGGCACAUUUCUUUCAUCAAAAGCCUUCCUUCGCCUUCCAGUUGGACCUCAUUCACCGAAGUUUGCUUUUUAUAUACGCUUACAGAGAUUCGGCGGGGAGCUCUGACUUGGUGUUUUCUGAUGCUGGCCUUUUCACAGACUGGCAGAGCAGUGGAGAAGCAAUUAGUCACAAUUUGUUGUGCAGAGUAACACAAUGUUGUUAAAUAAAACCACAGCUAGUACCACACAGUAACCACAGC